UACGAAGGGGCUAGCGUUGCUCGGAAUCACUGGGCGUAAAGAGCUCGUAGGUGGUUUGUCGCGUUGUUCGUGAAACUCACAGCUUAACUGUGGGCGUGCGGGCGAUACGGGCAGACUGGAGUACUGCAGGGAGACUGGAAUUCCGUGGUGUAGCGGUGGAAUGCGCAGACUAUCAGGAGGAACACCGGUGGCGAAGGCGGGUCUCUGG
rnacentral:rRNA from 1 species